AUUGAACGCUGGCGGCAGGCCUAACACAUGCAAGUCGAGCGAGCGGCGGACGGGUGAGUAAUGUAUGGGGACUGCCCGAUAGAGGGGGAUAACUACUGGAAACGGUAGCUAAUACCGCAUACUAUCGGAUAACCCAUAUGGGAUUAGCUAGUAGGUGAGGUAAUGGCUCACCUAGGCGACGAUCCCUAGCUGGUCUGAGAGGAUGAUCAGCCACACUGGGACUGAGAAACGGCCCAGACUCCAAGGGAGGCAGCAGUGGUGAAUAUUGCACAAUGGGCGAAAGCGAGAUGCAGCAAUGCCGCGUGUAUGAAGAAGGCCCUAGGGUUGUAAAGUACUUUGAGUAGGGAGGCGUUACCGACAGAAGAAGCACCGGCUAACUCCGUGCCAGCAGCCGCGGUAAUAC
rnacentral:rRNA from 1 species